rnacentral:rRNA from 1 species
UACGAAGGGGGCAAGCGUUGUUCGGAAUUACUGGGCGUAAAGGGCGCGUAGGCGGCUUAUCAAGUCAGGCGUGAAAUUCCCGGGCUCAACCUGGGGGCUGCGCUUGAUACUGAUGAGCUUGAAUGCGGGAGAGGAUAGUGGAAUUCCCAGUGUAGAGGUGAAAUUCGUAGAUAUUGGGAAGAACACCGGUGGCGAAGGCGGCGCUCUGGAACGUUUCUGACGCUGAGGCUCGAAAGCGUGGGGAGCAAACAGG